CUACAGAUCAUGUCAGGGUUGCUACAGAUCAGGUCAUGGUUGCUACAGAUCAGGUCAGGGUUGCUACAGAUCAGGUCAUGGUUGCUACAGAUCAGGUCAGGGUUGCUACAGAUCAGGUCAGGGUUGCUACAGAUCAGGUCAGGGUUGUUACAGAUCAGGUCAGGGUUGCUACAGAUCAGGUCAGGGUUGUUACAGAUCAGGUUAGGGUUUCAAAUAUCAAGUCAGGUCAGGGUUGCUACAGAUCAGGUCAGGGUUGUGACAGAUCAGGCAGGGUUUCAAAAUAUCAGGUCAGGUCAGGGUUGCUACAAAUUAGCUCAGGGUUGCUACGUCAGGUCAGGGUUGCUACAUGUCAGGUCAGACUUCAGCCCUAUCCCCACUUUGUCAGACUUCAGCCCUAUCCCCACUUUGUCAGACUUCAGCCCU